UCUUUUGCACAAAACAUUUAUCCUCAAAUCCUUGUGCACUAUUUUCUCUCGUCCAAGGAAGAACGGAUACAACGUUUCGUUCUUCUUCUUUAUCUCUUUGCCUCUUAUGUCGAUUGGUUUGCAGUGGCCACUGUUGGUGAAGAUUGGGUUGAGAAAUUGGAAGAGGAAGACGAUGCCGGUCGGGAGGCGACAUAUUAGGUUUCCGAUGCCGGUAAGGGUUUUUCAGUGGCGGCCAUGAAUUGAAAUGGACGGGAUUUGAUUGAUUUUGGUGUCAUUCUUGUUGAUUUUGGUUUUGAUUUAGGCAUUUGGAUGUGAUUGAAGAAGAAAUUUAGAGAAUUUAAAUAAAAGAAAGUUGGGGAGAUUUGUUAUUCAGUGAGUUUGGAAUUGGAUUUUGCUAAUACGCAAAUGAAUAAAUAUUGGAGAAGACGGUGGUGCUUUGGUUUGCUUUUACUUUAAAAUGAUUUAGGCAUUUCUAUGGUUUUGCCUUUCAACUAGGAAAUUGAUAAAAAGUUGGGCUAGGUAAAAUAUUUUCUAUGUUUUAGAUUGAAAUUUUAUUCGUAUUCAUCUUUAUUAAGGUUGAUUUCUUUUCAUGAGACUUCUUUAAUUGAUUUUGUCUUUUUGAUAGACUUUUUUACUGUUCGAUUGUUUUUUCUUGAUAUUUUGGUUGUGGAUUUUCAAAGAGCUAUGAAUGGAAGCGAUGAAGUGAAUAAAAUGGAUUUUAAGUUUUCUUAUGAGGAGGAAAAAAGUCAGUGUUAGAGCUCAACAGUUGGAAUGAAAUUGGCUUAUUCAAUGACAAUAGAAGCUAGAAUUCCAUUAAUUAUGAACACAAAUAUUGUAAUAUCAGGGGAGAUCUCAAAUUCUUAUACAUGGGGAGAAACCAUUAAGAAAUCAACUGCUAAAACAUCUUCAUAUUCACAUGAAGUACAUCCAAGAACUUCAGUCAAAGUGAUCCCAUGCUAACCAAAGGAUAUUGUGAUGUUCCAUUCUCAUAUACUCAACGUGAUCUUCUUGUCAAUGGACAAACAAGAACUACAGAACAUGAUGAUGGUUUAUUCACAGGAGUUAAUUGCUAAAAUAUGGAGAGAAAUCUUGUAAUGAGUCUUGGAAAGGACUUUCUUGGUGAAUGGUAAGUUCCUUUUCUUUGUCUCUAACUCUAUUAUUAUAUAAUUUAUUCUGAAGUCUUGGAAAGAACUUUCUUGUGGAUGGCCAAGAGUGCCCUGCAGAUGUUUGGGUGAUAGAAUUAAUUAGGAGGGUCUAUAGGUGACAUAGAAUCAAUGUCGUUCAUUGAAGCUUUGCUGCAACUUUCCUUUUCAGUUGGACUGAUGUCGAAUCCAAAAGCUAGCACUGUUACAAUAAAUAUACCUCAGAUGUUGAUCUGGCAGUUGCUUUUGUUGUCACUACGCUGAGGAAAUUGCAGACAGUUGAGCUCAUUAUAGUUCGUCUUUUUUAGGAGAAUACACCUUAUGUUGUUUAUAUCAUGAAUCUUGCUGCUAGGCAUUAUGUCAUCAUCAUACCCACGUAAUAAUUUUCUAGAGACGGACGCUAUGUUCCUCGAGUUUGAGGACGAUUUAGAUAACAUUGCGGGAGGGUCGUCGUUUAUGGGCGACAAUACAAGUCUUCUUCUCAACAACCUGCGACUCCGACUCCUAGAAGAUGUACACAGUCUCAACUCUUAGAGUUGGAGCGCCACGUUACAAUAAAUGGGCGCAUUCUGAUGAUGAUUGCCUUUGGAGCGGAGAAGCCUAUUUCUCCACACGUCGUUCGCUUCAGCCAGGCGAUAGGCGUGUGCGUGCGAAAGACAUUUCUCGUCCGCUGCCUUAAGUGGGCGGACGUUAGGAGAUAAUACAUUGAGGUCAUCAAAGGCGACCUCCAGAAGUUUUUUGUGUUUAAUUUCAAAGAUCAAGCAAUGAAUAGGUUUGUUGAGCAUCAGUUGCUCACGACCUUUAAAGAGUUCUGGGCCAACUGUCACAGACACUUCAAAAAGUACAGAGACCCAAAGGAGGCUCGUGCCAACCCACCAAACGUAUUGGUUGGACGUCAUGAGGAUUAACACUUCCUCUACGACCACUACAUGAGUCGUGCAUUCCAGUAGCAAUCACGAACGAACAAGGCUACUAGAUAGAAGAAACUUUACAAUCAUAGCAGUGGGUCCAAGUCGUUUCUACAACGAUAGUACGAGCUCGUUGAGAGAAAAAGGGAGUCGGUUGAUCAUGUGGAGUUGUUCCGGGAAACACACAUUCAAGCUGGGACGUUCGUGUUGCAAGCCGUAGAGGAUGCGUAUAAUCAAAUGCUGGAACUCUAGUCUCAGCUUACCGCAGAGGGUAAUCAGCUACUCUAUAAAGAUAAGAUAUGUGAUCAGGAGUUGGAUAGACGAUCAGGCUACUCAGAAGACCUUGGUUGGGGACCCAAGCCGAAGGCCCGCAAGACGAUAAGUGCGAGUAGUUCCACGACGUCAUGUUCUCAGUCGACCACAGAAAGAUAUUCAAAUACAAGCUAAACUUGAUCAAGCUUUGGAACGGAUUGAAUUGCAAGAUAGAAAUUUUCAAGCGUUAGCUUCAGAAAUGGAACAAAUGCAAAAGCCGAUACAGGACAUGACUCGAGCACAGCAAGAACCACCACAUGAUCCUUAGCUUUGCGGUACAUAUGACCCAAGGUGUAGAAUAGCGCGUAUGAUCCUCGUUAGGAGACACACGACUUUGUUUGUAGUUUUUUAUAUUAUGAGAACUACAUUUUUUGUAUUAUGAACAACUAUAUAUUUUUUAACUUAUUAAUUAUGUUUUUU